GUGGGGAAUCUUCCACAAUGGACGAAAGUCUGAUGGAGCAACGCCGCGUGAGUGAAGAAGGGUUUCGGCUCGUAAAGCUCUGUUGUCGGGGACGAAUGUGCAGUAUUUGAAUAAAGUAGUGCAAUGACGGUACCUGACGAGGAAGCCACGGCUAACUACGUGCCAGCAGCCGCGGUAAUACGUAGGUGGCAAGCGUUGUCCGGAAUUAUUGGGCGUAAAGGGAGCGCAGGCGGGAAGGUAAGUCGGUCUUAAAAGUGCGGGGCUCAACCCCGUGAUGGGAUCGAAACUAUAUUUCUUGAGUGCAGGAGAGGAAAGUGGAAUUCCUAGUGUAGCGGUGAAAUGCGUAGAUAUUAGGAGGAACACCAGUGGCGAAGGCGACUUUCUGGACUGUAACUGACGCUGAGGCUCGAAAGCCAGGGGAGCGAACGGGAUUAGAAACCCCGGUAGUCC
rnacentral:rRNA from 1 species